rnacentral:rRNA from 1 species
UGCCAGCAACCGCGGUAAUACGAAGGGCGCAAGCGUUAUUCGGAGUUAUUGGGCGUAAAGGGCGCGCAGGCGGUUUUAUAAGUCUGUAGUUAAAUCCCAGGGCUCAACCCUGGAAUCGUUAUGGAAACUAUAAAACUUGAGGUAUGCAGGGGUAGAUGGAAUUCCAGAAGUAGGGGUAAAAUCCGUAGAUCUCUGGAGGAACACCAAACGCGAAGGCAUUCUACUGGGCAUUACCUGACGCUAAGGGACGGAAGUGUGGGGAGCGAACGGGAUUAGAUA